rnacentral:rRNA from 1 species
AGCGAACGCUCGCGGCAGGCCUAACACAUGCAAGUCGAACGAACUCUUCGGAGUUAGUGGCGGACGGGUGAGUAACACGUGGGAACGUGCCUUUAGGUUCGGAAUAACUCAGGGAAACUUGAGCUAAUACCGGAUGUGCCCUUCGGGGGAAAGAUUUAUCGCCUUUAGAGCGGCCCGCGUCUGAUUAGCUAGUUGGUGAGGUAAAGGCUCACCAAGGCGACGAUCAGUAGCUGGUCUGAGAGGAUGAUCAGCCACAUUGGGACUGAGACACGGCCCAAACUCCUACGGGAGGCAGCAGUGGGGAAUCUUGCGCAAUGGGCGAAAGCCUGACGCAGCCAUGCCGCGUGAAUGAUGAAGGUCUUAGGAUUGUAAAAUUCUUUCACCGGGGACGAUAAUGACGGUACCCGGAGAAGAAGCCCCGGCUAACUUCGUG